UAGUAAAUAUCUACUCUAUUCAUAUAUAUCACAGUGUUCAGUUUAUUCCCUAAGAUCUGAAGAAACAUUGAGUAUAGAAGGAGAAAAAGACACUCAACAGAAAUAACGAGGAAAGACUCAAGCACAGCAGGUGAGGCCUGGGCUCCUAGUUCCAGAGAGCAGAGUGCACAUAUGCUCUCAGUUCUCAUCUCUCUUCAGACCCCAGAGA
rnacentral:lncRNA from 10 species